rnacentral:miRNA from 1 species
CGUGAUAUUGGUCCGGUUCAUC